rnacentral:lncRNA from 1 species
AUAAUACUUCUUUAAAUGGUUUACUCAAAACUAAAUUAAAAGCCAAGCGGAAGAUCAAAAUUAUCAAAUCAGCUACAAAAGUAAAAAAAAAAAUGUCACAAACCGUAGGCAAACAAGUAAUUUCCAUAUUUUGUUUUAUCUUAAGCAAGAUUCCACAUCAUAUAUUUCUAUAAACAUACAUAAACUGCCACAGUAAAAAACCAAACGAUUCUAUCACACAAGCAUUAAGA